rnacentral:lncRNA from 1 species
UCGAAAGAAUCCUUUGUUUAAGCAAGAUGGCAAUCAUCAUAAAUAGUAUUGUAAAGACCUGAUUUCUUGCAUAGAACUUUAAGUAAAAAAAAAGAAAAGAAGAAUUUGAGUCCUGAUUAGACUCUGUUUCUUCUUUCUCUCUUGAAGAUGACAAAAUUGAGCGAUAGAGUUUUAAUCUGAGCUAAUUAGGUCCAUAAAAGCUAGAAAAUUCCUCCAUAUGUAGACCUCCUCCCCUUCAUUGAGAUCCAUCCUUGGUUCCCCAAGAAAUCGCUGCCGAUCCUCCAUGAUUUCGCUCUGAGUUUUUUUUUUAUUCUUACUGGAAAAGAUUGCCGAUUUCCUUCUUUUUGAUGUUUGGACAAGGUAGGGACCCUCCAUCUUCUUCUUUUCUCGAUGUUCUACCCAUCCUCAUCGCUAGGAUUUGGUCCGGCGAGUCGCCGGAUUGUGUAUGAACAGGAUUUUCCUUGUUUAAUGCCUUUCUAUUUUUUUGUUUUGCUCCACCUUGCUGAUCGUGGCUAUGGUCGGGGUCGCUGCCGUUGCUAUCGGCGAGCACCACCAUGGGACGCCGACUCUAGAUCCCUCCAUAUGAGAGCUUGAGAGGAAGAGAGAGAUGAAGGGGGGAGGAGGGGCAGUCGCCCAUUUGAGCAAAUUAAAAAGAAAGAAAGAAACUAGAGAAAGACGAGGAAAAGAAAACAAAAGGGGAAAGAAAGAGAAAAAAAAAAAAAGAGAGAGAAGAAGGAAGGAGGAAAAAAAAAGAGAUCCAAUUUUCAUGUGAGACCUCCCCAUUAAUCGGACUCCAACUCAAUUGAAU